GCUUUUAAACCCGAGCAGCGUGAGUCUCAGCCUUUCUCGAAGAAUAGCUGGAAGAAACAGACGCAAUUCCUGCAGCAGAGACAAACUUAUGAGAUCACUGACCAAAUUACAGUACAAUACAAUGAUAUAUCAAGACAGCAUACAAGAUGUGCCACAGGAGUGUGGACGUGGGCCGGUUGCUCUCUGCGGGGUCUGUACAUCUGUGGAGAGCAUAGGAAAGAUGCCCAUUAAAUGAGAGUGCGUUUAACAUGCAGAAGGCGGCUGUUACCUGUCCAUCAGCAUUAAAUCCUGGAUGAAUACAAGCUGUGGCACACAAAGCAGAAAAUAAUAAUGUAUCGUAAAGGAUUGUAAGGCUGUAAACCAUAAAUCCAGAUGGCAUGGGCUGAUCCAGCAAUCUGAAGAUAACAGUGGAGGGCCGAAAUGCUGGAGGAAAAAAAAAAAUAGUAUGAAGGUGGUGAUGGAAUAAGAUUCACACCUACAGCACCUACCACACAUGACUUUCACACUUGAGAGCGAGCUGGGAGAGAAAGCCCAGAUGAACACAAAUGUACAUGUGUGGUUUUUGGUGUGUAAUCGUGCAUUAAUGUUGUCAUCUAAUGCUCUCUACUAUGAUUUAUUUUUCUAUUACAUAAUAAAUAUCCACCAGAGCACCCGAACCAUGAA